rnacentral:rRNA from 1 species
ACGCUGGCGGCAGGCCUAACACAUGCAAGUCGAGCGGCAGCACAGGUACUUGUACCGGGUGGCGAGCGGCGGACGGGUGAGUAAUGCCUAGGAAUCUGCCUGGUAGUGGGGGAUAACGCUCGGAAACGGACGCUAAUACCGCAUACGUCCUACGGGAGAAAGCAGGGGACCUUCGGGCCUUGCGCUAUCAGAUGAGCCUAGGUCGGAUUAGCUGGUUGGUGGGGUAAUGGCUCACCAAGGCGACGAUCCGUAACUGGUCUGAGAGGAUGAUCAGUCACACUGGAACUGAGACACGGUCCAGACUCCUACGGGAGGCAGCAGUGGGGAAUAUUGGACAAUGGGCGAAAGCCUGAUCCAGCCAUGCCGCGUGUGUGAAGAAGGUCUUCGGAUUGUAAAGCACUUUAAGUUGGGAGGAAGGGCAGUUACCUAAUACGUGAUUGUUUUGACGUUACCGACAGAAUAAGCACCGGCUAACUCUGUGCCAGCAGCCGCGGUAAUACAGAGGGUGCAAGCGUUAAUCGGAAUUACUGGGCGUAAAGCGCGCGUAGGUGGUUCGUUAAGUUGGAUGUGAAAUCCCCGGGCUCAACCUGGGAACUGCAUUCAAAACUGACGAGCUAGAGUAUGGUAGAGGGUGAUGGAAUUUCCUGUGUAGCGGUGAAAUGCGUAGAUAUAGGAAGGAACACCAGUGGCGAAGGGGACCACCUGGACUGAUACUGACACUGAGGUGCGAAAGCGUGGGGAGCAAAC